rnacentral:rRNA from 1 species
GUGGGGAAUCUUAGACAAUGGGCGCAAGCCUGAUCUAGCCAUGCCGCGUGAGUGAUGAAGGCCCUAGGGUUGUAAAGCUCUUUCAGCUGGGAAGAUAAUGACGGUACCAGCAGAAGAAGCCCCGGCUAACUUCGUGCCAGCAGCCGCGGUAAUACGAAGGGGGCUAGCGUUGUUCGGAAUUACUGGGCGUAAAGCGCACGUAGGCGGACAUUUAAGUCAGGGGUGAAAUCCCGGGGCUCAACCCCGGAACUGCCUUUGAUACUGGGUGUCUGGAGUAUGGAAGAGGUAAGUGGAAUUCCGAGUGUAGAGGUGAAAUUCGUAGAUAUUCGGAGGAACACCAGUGGCGAAGGCGGCUUACUGGUCCAUUACUGACGCUGAGGUGCGAAAGCGUGGGGAGCAAACAGGAUUAGAAACCCCGGUAGUCC